rnacentral:rRNA from 1 species
GCUUGUCUCAAAGAUUAAGCCAUGCAUGUCUAAGUAUAAGCACUUAUACCGUGAAACUGCGAAUGGCUCAUUACAUCAGUUAUAGUUUAUUUGAUAGUCCCCACUACUUGGAUAACCGUAGUAAUUCUAGAGCUAAUACAUGCGCAAAUACCCAACUGCUUGUCGGACGGGUAGCAUUUAUUAGAUUGAAACCAAUGCAGUCUUCGGGCUGGUAUUGUGUUGAGUCAUAAUAACUGUGCGGAUCGCGUUUUACGCGAUAAAUCGAUUGAGUUUCUGCCCUAUCAGCUUUGGAUGGUAGGAUAUGGGCCUACCAUGGCAUUAACGGGUAACGGAGAAUUAGGGUUCGAUUCCGGAGAGGGAGCCUGAGAAAUGGCUACCACAUCCAAGGAAGGCAGCAGG